GGACCGUCGGUCUACCGAGCAAUAUAUUUUU
rnacentral:sRNA from 1 species